UACGCAGGUGGCAAGCGUUAUCCGGAUCUAUUGGGCGUAAAGGGAACGCAGGCGGUCUUUUAAGUCUGAUGUGAAAGCCUUCGGCUUAACCGGAGUAGUGCAUUGGAAACUGGGAGACUUGAGUGCAGAAGAGGAGAGUGGAACUCCAUGUGUAGCGGUGAAAUGCGUAGAUAUAUGGAAGAACACCAGUGGCGAAAGCGGCUCUCUGGUCUGUAACUGACGCUGAGGUUCGAAAGCGUGGGUAGCAAACAGG
rnacentral:rRNA from 1 species